rnacentral:rRNA from 1 species
UACGUAGGGGGCGAGCGUUAUCCGGAAUUAUUGGGCGUAAAGGGCACGCAGGCGGUGCUCUGCGUGGAUGGUGACAGCUUCCGGCUUAACCAGGAGAGUGCCAUCCAAACGGGAGCACUUGAGAGCGAGAGAGGAAUACGGAACUCCAGGUGGAGCAGUGAAAUGCGUAGAGAUCUGGAAGAACACCAACGGCGAAGGCAGUAUUCUGGCUCGUUUCUGACGCUCAGGUGCGAAAGCUAGGGGAG